rnacentral:rRNA from 1 species
CCUACGGGACGCAGCAGUGGGGAAUAUUUCACAAUGGGGGAAACCCUGAUGCAGCGACGCCGCGUGAGUGAAGAAGUAAUUCGUUAUGUAAAGCUCUAUCAUCAGGGAAGAAAAUGACGGUACCUGAGUAAGAAGCCCCGGCUAACUACGUGCCAGCAGCCGCGGUAAUACGUAGGGGGCAAGCGUUCUCCGGAUUUACUGGGUGUAAAGGGUGCGUAGACGGCAGUGCAAGUCUGGAGUGAAAGGCGGGGGCUCAACCCCCAGACUGCUCUGGAAACUGUACGGCUGGAGUGCAGGAGAGGUAAGUGGAAUUCCUAGUGUAGCAGUGAAAUGCGUAGAUAUUAGGAGGAACACCAGUGGCGAAGGCGGGUUACUGGACUGUAACGGACGUUGAGGCUCGAAAGCGUGGGGAGCAAACAGGAUUAGAUACCCGUGUAGUC